UAAUGUGCAGUUUUCCUCUGCCCUAGAAACAGUCAAAAGAGAGGAAUUGGCAAAGCCAGCCAAGGAGGACCUGUGGCUCACCCCUAAUUGCUGAAAACCUACCACGUGCCAGGCUCCGGCCUUUCACUGCCAACAAGAGAAGACUGUGAUAUGGUCCUGUUAUCAGUGAGCUCACAGAAAAGGGAACAUCCCAGCCUAGCAGGAUGCCAUUUCAGGCGCCAGAGAUACAGAAAUGAAUGAAUGAGACGAAGGUCCCCAUCUUCACGGAGCUUACAUUCUAGUGAGAGGAGACAGGCCAUCAAUGAAUAAAAAGUCAGAAAAAUAUAGUAUAUCAGCUGGCGAUAAGCGUGAAGAUGACAGAGCCUGGAGGAAGGGCAGAGCACACCUGGGCAGCGGCUGGGGGAAUGUGACUUCAAAGGCGGUGCCAUGGAGGGCCUCCCUGAGAAGAGGGCAUUCGAGCAAAGACGCAAAGGAGGAAGACAGCAGGUCCUGGGGACAUCUGGGGAGUGUCCCAGAUGGAGGGAAGAGCAGACGCUCUUUGAAGAUCAAGUUUACUCCCUCCGUUCCUUCCUCCUUCCCUCCUUUCCUUCCUUUUUUGUCUUCAUUUAUUUC
ensembl:lncRNA